rnacentral:rRNA from 1 species
AUCACUUGUUCUUUAAAUGAGGACUCGUAUCAACGGCAUCACGAGGAUCCUACUGUCUCCCCCCUCUAAUCGGUGAAACUGAUCUCUCCGUGAAGAAGCGGAGAUGUACAUAUAAGACGAGAAGACCCCAUGGAGCUUUAAACCCAACAACACCCGCCCCCCUCCAAAUCCUAUUAUUUACCCGGUGAUUGUUUGUUUGGUUUUAGGUUGGGGUGACCGCGGAGUAUAAGAUAUCCUCCAUGAAAAAAAGCUAACUGCCCUUAUUAGAGAAAGACACUUCCAAAAAAUAAUAAAUUAAUUUUAAAUGAUCCGACAUUCGAUCAACGAACCAAGUUACCCUGGGGAUAACAGCGCAAUCCGUCCCGAGAGCCCCUAUCGACAGGCGGGUUUACGACCUCGAUGUUGGAUCAGGGUAUCCCAGUGGUGCAGCAGCUACUAAAGGUUCGUUUGUUCAACGAUUAAAACCCU